rnacentral:rRNA from 1 species
UUUUCUUACGGGGGGCAGCAGUGGGGAAUAUUGCGCAAUGGGGGCAACCCUGACGCAGCAACGCCGCGUGAUUGAAGAAGGCCUUCGGGUUGUAAAGAUCUUUAAUCGGGGACGAAUUUUGACGGUACCCGAAGAAUAAGCUCCGGCUAACUACGUGCCAGCAGCCGCGGUAAUACGUAGGGAGCAAGCGUUAUCCGGAUUUACUGGGUGUAAAGGGCGUGCAGGCGGGC